ACAAAGAGCGGAUUGAAGACACCCUGUUCCCGCUUCCUAAGCCCUCUCCUAUUUAUCUUCCUCAAGGUGCGAUUGAGGGAGGGCCCAGCGGGGGUAAAAUGCUGUGAUUACUGGGCCUCCAGCUACGCUGCCAAACCGCGCAGCUCACUCCGUCUUCCCGAGGUGUCUCUGAGGCGUGGAGGUACCACACUUCGCUGGGCCGUUCACCUGCUGAUGGAUGUCUGGGCGGGUACACAUCGAGCUGCGGUCAGCAUUCGGGCGCACGCGUUGCUGUGGACAUGUGCUCGUGUUUCUCCAGAGAGAUGCUUCACUUCGAAGAAAAGAAAAAAGAAAAAAACAAAAGAGAAAACCACUCUUGCCUUCUUGGGAGCCUGCCCUCACCUGUCAGUUUAUAGCCGGCUGUUCCAUAUACGGAUCUUGCCAGACUCCACUUGACCUUUUUUCCCUGUUGCUUCCAUGAGUCUCAUAUUUGGAUCAUAGAAACGAACACACAAUAAGCUUCCAAAGAACCUAAUAUGUUGGUUUAUUUUCCUUCCCAUUCACGUGGCUUCAUCUCAUCACUACAAAUUGCACUAAGUGGGAGAAUUUUUAAGCUGCAGGGUAGGCUGGGAAGUUGCUGGAGAAUUGACCAGAUCUUUAUGAAAGGGGUUCCUUCCUUUAAAAUCCUUUAACAAAGAUGUAAAGAUGGAUCUAAUGACGUCAUGGAUAAUCCUGCAUUCUUGCAUGAAAUGAGAUGUGUUUUUCAAAGCUAAAUAUAAACCUUUCAACUGGGUAAACAAAUAGGGCACAAAGACUUUUCUUAUUUCUAGAAUCGUUUGGGGAUUAAAAUUUGAUCCAGUUUUAAGGAGAAACAGAUGAGUUCUGUGUAGGGACAUUAAGAAUUGGUCUUGGCUACAACAUUAUUUUAUUUUAUUUUUUACAACAUUAUUUUAGGCCAUUAUGUCUUUUCACUUAGAGACUGGUUAAGUGAAAAAACUAGUUAGUUUUUUGGCCAUGUGGUAAAUCAGAGUCACUUGAAAAUAUGGCUACCUGGGAACCUUUUGAGAAGGACAGCAAGAAAUUAUUUCCGAUCAGCGAGACUAGGUGUCAAAAUAGGAGAAAAACUGAUUUUAUUCAUUGGAUAUGAUAUCACAG